CACCGCGGUUAUACGAGGGGCCCAAGUUAACAGAACCUCGGCGUAAAGCGUGGUUAGAUAACAAUAAACUAAAGCCGAAUACUCUCGAGGCUGUUAUACGCACCUGAGAGCUAGAAGCCCCACUACGAAAGUGGCUUUACCUAAUUUGAACCCACGAAAGCUAAGGCA
rnacentral:rRNA from 1 species